UACGGAGGGUGCAAGCGUUGUUCGGAUUUACUGGGCGUAAAGGGCGUGUAGGCGGCUAAGCAAGUCAGGUGUGAAAUCCCUUGGCUCAACCAAGGAAGUGCAUUUGAAACUGCAUAGCUAGAGUACAGGAGGGGAAAGUGGAAUUCCCAGUGUAGAGGUGAAAUUCAUAGAUAUUGGGAGGAACACCAGUAGCGAAGGCGGCUUUCUGGCCUGAUACUGACGCUGAGACGCGAAAGCCAGGGGAGCGAACGGG
rnacentral:rRNA from 1 species